rnacentral:rRNA from 1 species
GAUGAACGCUGACAGAAUGCUUAACACAUGCAAGUCUUUGGCGAAGCUGUGCUUGCACAGCCUAGCCAAGGCGGACGGGUGAGUAACGCGUAAGGAACUUGCCCUGCAGUCAGGGAUAACAGACGGAAACGACUGAUAAGACCUGGUAAAGUCAGGCGGACUCAUGUCCUGCCUGAUGAAAAGAGAUGCUGCAGGAGAGCCUUGCGUCCUAUUAGCUUGUUGGUGGGGUAACGGCCCACCAAGGCGAUGAUAGGUAGCCGGCCUGAGAGGGUGGACGGCCACAAGGGGACUGAGAUACGGCCCUUACUCCUACGGGAGGCAGCAGUGGGGAAUAUUGGACAAUGGGGGCAACCCUGAUCCAGCAAUUCUGUGUGCACGAUGAAGGUUUUCGGAUUGUAAAGUGCUUUCAGCAGGGAAGAAAAAAAUGACGGUACCUGCAGAAGAAGCGACGGCUAAAUACGUG